CAGCCAGAGGGAGUCGUGGCCUGUAGGACCUAGCUUGGUCAUUAGGAAGCCAGUGAGACCUGGAAAUAGCACAAGAGGGAAGGAGACUGCCAAGGUCAUUGAACUGCAGAUCCCAACAACCGCAUCAGCCGCACUCAUCAAGAAGUGCAGACAGAAUGUGUUUCCCCAAACCUACACUGUUAAUGGUCAACACUGUCAACUUCUUGGAUGCAGAACUGUAUAGAGAAGAUCAAACCAAACAUUGCUUGAGAAUCUGGACCAUAAGGAACCACACCAGAAACUAAGACACGAAGAACCUCAACGCUUUUAAGGGACACUCCUCUAUAUGGCUGUCCAUUAAUCCAAACUGAGAGGUCUCCUUUCUUAUAUGCUGGACAACAUCCAUUUCCUGUUCCUCAGGGUACUUGAAGGCUGAAGCAGCCCAAAUGAUGAUUUUUGCUGCCAGCUGGGGGCACUCAGCCCAGGCCUUGAGCUGGUUGUAGGUGACUGAAAUUUGAGUGCUACCAGGAGGAUCCUCCAUAAUUCCUCAUCCCAAACUGUGAACUGAAUUCAGUGUUCACCUCUGAACAGGGAUAAGAAAACCAGCCUGGAAAAUAAUACUCAUUUCAGUAUUGCUAUCCACACUGCAUCCAACCUGAGAGUCUGAACAUCAGCAUCCAUGUGUUGACUGGUGGGACCUGCACUUGGGAUGUUGUGCAAACCCCAGACAGAUUGUGACAGAAGACUAGCAUACUUCAGAAACAUUUCUGCUGGUCCAGAUAGAAGUAGAAGCAGCUGGCAGAGACUCCGUGACAGAAAAGAGCAGCACGUUAGGCAAUGCAGUGGAAAGAGUGCUGUUGUUGGUUAGAAGAAGCUAUCUGCCUGUAUGGUGGUGCCUGGAGUCAAUCUUCACUGUGUCUUCCACCAUUCAGGCUGCCCUUUGUAAAAAGCAUGUCCAAAAGAAGGAGGAAUUUACUCCUGUAAGGACCCUUAAAGACUGGUUUGGCUCCUGCCUGGGAAUUUCAAAACAAACAAAGCCUCAGAAACAGACAAGAAACACAACAAAGAAGAUACUGAUGUCAUAAGGUACUUCCAGAUUCUCAGCAGAAAUAGUAAUGUGGAGGGAAGGAGCCAAUACAGAUUUUCUUCAAGAGUUCAGCCUCACAACUUUUCUGAGAAUAUCAACAGUUUCCAUUCAUCUACCUUUACCUCAUUGCUUCAGGCCCUUCUCCAUCGCCCAAACGCCUCCAUAAAGUCAUUCAUGGAUAUCACACAGG
rnacentral:lncRNA from 1 species